GACGAACGCUGGCGGCGUGCUUAACACAUGCAAGUCGAACGGUGAAGCUCCAAGCUUGCUUGGGGUGGAUCAGUGGCGAACGGGUGAGUAACACGUGAGCAACCUGCCCCAGACUCCGGAAUAAGCGCUGGAAACGGCGUCUAAUACUGGAUAUGAGAUCAGUCCGCAUGGGCAUGGUCUGGAAAGUUUUUCGGUCUGGGAUGGGCUCGCGGCCUAUCAGCUUGUUGGUGAGGUAAUGGCUCACCAAGGCGAUGACGGGUAGCCGGCCUGAGAGGGCGACCGGCCACACUGGGACUGAGACACGGCCCAGACUCCUACGGGAGGCAGCAGUGGGGAAUAUUGCACAAUGGGCGAAAGCCUGAUGCAGCGACGCCGCGUGAGGGAUGACGGCCUUCGGGUUGUAAACCUCUUUCAGCAGGGAAGAAGCGAAAGUGACGGUACCUGCAGAAGAAGCACCGGCUAACUACGUGCCAGCAGCCGCCGCAGUAA
rnacentral:rRNA from 1 species